UUUACAAAAAUAUAUGUAUAAAUAUUUAAAAUUUAUGUUAAGAAACAUUUGUAUAUGCGUUACAGAAGCUGUUCGCGUAACACACCCAAUAAUAGACAAUGACGUUGCAGAAUACACGUCAAAAUGGCUUGCUCAAGCUGUAAGAGUUCAGAGAGAUAAAAAAAAAUCAAUAGAAGGAAUUCAAGAAGAAAGCCAAAAAAACUGAAAAAGAUAUCUUAUAAU